rnacentral:RNase_P_RNA from 1 species
UAAGUCAGCCGGAUAAUCGCUGGCCCGACUAUCGUUUGAUAGCAGGCUGGAGGAAAGUCCGGGCUCCACAGGACAGAGUGCCAGAUAACGUCUGGGAGGCGCGAGCCUACGGCCAGUGCAACAGAGAGUAAACCGCCCGGCUUCGCAUCGUUUUACGCUGCUAUGCCGUGGUAAGGGUGAAAGGGUGUGGUAAGAGCGCACCGCACUUCUGGUAACAGAAGUGGCAUGGUAAACCCCACUCGGAGCAAGACCAAAUAGGAAAACAUUGGCGUAGUCCGCGCCGUUUUCGGGUUGGUCGCUUGAGGCUGAAAGGUGACUUUCAGUCCAGAUGAAUGAUUAUCCUAGACAGAACCCGGCUUACAGGCUGACUUAUUUU